rnacentral:ncRNA from 1 species
CACAACCUUUUUUAAUAAAUACUAAAAAAAAUUAUUAAAAAAGGUUGUGAUUGAAGAGUUUUUUAUUUUAAAUAAAGAAAAGUUUGAUUCUCACUUAAAAAUUAAUAUAUUAAAUUAAGUACAUAUAUUUAUUUUGGUAGUAUUUAAAAUUAUAUAAAAUUUUAGAUAUAAAAUUUUAUAAAUGAUAAGAUUAUUUUGUGCCAGCAUCUGCGGUUAUACAAAUUAUUAAAUUAAUUAUUUUAAUUUUAAUAAAAAUAUUUUUAUAUUAAUUUUAUAAAAUAAUUAGAUUUUAUUUAGGUGAAAUUAUUUUAAUUUAUUAUUUUAUAAUUUUAUUAAUUAUUUAUAUUAAAUUUAUUCAAUAGACCUGGAUUAGAUACCCAGUUAUUUUAUUUAAUUUUAAUAAAAUUUAAGUAGUAAUUCUUUGGUUUUGAAACUUAAAGAAUUUGGCGGUAAUUUAAUCUUUUUAGAGGAACCUGUUCAUUAAUCGACAACCCACGUUUAUCUUACUUUUUUAAUAUUUUAUAUAUCGUUGUUUAAAAAAUUAAUUUUAGAAAUUAAUUUUAAUGGUUUAAUUAAGUUAAUAACAAAUCAAGGUGUAGAUUAUAAUAAAGUUAGUAAUGGGUUACUAUUUUUAUAAUAAAAUGGAUUAAUUUUUGUUUUUAAUUUUUUGAAAGUGGAUUUAUUAGUAAUUUAAUUAAAGAGUAUAUUUGAAAUGAGUUCUAAAUUAUGUACAUAUCGCCCGUCACUCUCUUUAUUAAAAGAGAAAAGUCGUAACAAAGUAGAUUUUUUGGAAAAAUAAUCUAGAUUAUU